GUCAAAUGUAAAAUGAUCAUUUUCGUAGCUGUCCUCUUAGUUUUGAAUAUACGUCAAAGAAUAAAGUGUUCUGUAUAAAACGGUUUACUUAUUCGUGACACGCCUUAACACUGUUCUAAAUUCUAAAUUAGCCACACAACAGCGCCGAAAGACAAGUGUUUGUCGCCGUAUUGUAUAUCUACUCAACAUGAACGGACCAAAAUUGUUACUCUUUACUGGAGUUAUUUUAAUUGCCAUAAUUAUUACAAAUGGACAGGAACCAGCCUGUAUGACCAGUACUGCGUGUAAUGGGCGCCCCAGCAGAACUUUCGAUAGGAAAAAAUACUGUUGCGCAUCUGGCAGUAGACGCAAAUUUUCAUUUGGCAAAAAUAAAUAUGGGAACCUCAUAUUGAACUGUAAUUGUCAUCCUUUGGUAACAAUACCUACCCCUAAAACAAAAAUGGGAACAGUUCUGAGGGUCUCUAGUGGGGUUACUUUCGGUUGAAACAAAUUUUGAGAGUUACUUUGUAUGAUAAUAAAGUAUAAACACAAUUAUUACCUUAA